GCGGGAUAGGUUACGAUAUCUGCGCCAUAAAUUGUUACUACUUACCUAAUAAUAUAAUAGAUUUACUAUAGUGGAGAAAUUAUACAAUAUACAGAGUGAUAAGUUUGUAGCUCUGCGCUAUUUUUUUAAAUUUUGUUAAUUUGUGGGCUUUUGUUUGAACUCGUAGAACAUGUAUAUUGUAUUGUUUUAGAUUGUGAACGUAGAGGUUUUUCUUUUUCUUUUUUUCUUUUACAACGGAGAUGUUACUCUCGUGUUUUUAUUCUUUAUGCUAAUGUAUAAAUAUUGAUUAUUAAUGUAAUAUUAAAUAUAGACUAUAACUUUAUGAACGAUUGCAUUUUGCGAAAGUAGAGAACGCUGUAAGAUGCCGGAUAAUGUGCGCAAUAUUACCUUUUUACAGAAUAAAUAAUACAGUUAAAAACUCGUUUUCACUUUAUCGUCGUUGCGUCCUCCUUCCCGUCUUCCUUUAUUCAUAUCUUAUUUUUGAAAUGUUUAUUAAAAUGUACAUCGCUGUACAGUGGAGCAAAGUAUUAUUCCGAUGUUUGAUAAAAUAAUAUUUUAAACUCAAAUUAUUCCGCUGUAGCGUGUUGUAUAAUAUGUAUACACAUUGUAUGGUUAAGUAGAUAAAAUAAAAUUUAAAGUACAGAUACGAUAAUAUAAUAUUAUUUGAUAUGAAAUUUAAAUGUACCAAUUCUACGCGAUAGAAAAAAAAUAAUACGAUUAUUGAAUUAAAAAAACGAUUUAUACCUAUAAUACAAUAAAUGUCUGUCCCUCUCAUCAACGACUUUUCUUCAACAAUUUCCUUUUUCCUGAAAUGAGAUUUUCGAAUCGUGUUACUACUGCAUUAUUAAACGCUAUUCACGUUAUUCACGGAUUUUGUAUUUUGUAAAUUUUUGUUCCUAUAAACCUUAUUCGCUAACAUAAUCAUUUCAGCGAUUUUAAUUAGACACAAUUACAAUAGUUAUUAUAUCCCUGAAAAUCACGAUGGAAAUCUGUGGGAUAUUAUCGACUAUUGGCUAUGUUUAAAUAAACAAUGGCGCGUCGCGGUGGGUUUAUUUUAAGCGAUUGCCUCGUGAAGUCGUGACUAAAAUGAACGAGUGGGUGGGUCACCUGCAAAUAUAUUAUGUGUUGAUUAACUAUUGAGAGAUCGGAAUUAUGUACGGUCUUAUUAAUUAUACCUACAUAUAAAUAUCAUACGAAGAAACAUAAAGAACACAUUAUACAAAUCCGUGUUUUGGCCAUAUCGAUUGGGUGGGUCCUGAUUUUUUUUUUUUGUUUUGCCAUCGAGUAUAAAUAAUAUACUGUUAUUGUUAAUAUUUUAUUCGAUACUAUAUCGUCAUUGUAGCUUGAAAAUAAUAGUGUGUAUUGCGAGUAGUUGUUUUUAAGGUUAUUCGAAUUGGUUAAACCGAAGCGUCGAACAAUCAACCGCGUUUGGUUAUUCUCACCGAGUUUAAUACAUUAAACAAAUUUUAUAUUAUUAUCAUUAUAAUGAAAUUUUUUUUUUUUUUUUUUUUUUAAUUUUGAUUGAUCGAAAAUUAUCGAGGUGUCUUAAUGGGGACCACGUUAUUGUAAUUUACGUAUAACAAUGUAAACAUUUUACUCCGUUUAAUCGAAAAUCUAAUAUUAUUACGACGAAUAAAUCGAAAUUGCAGUACAGAAUCCGAUUUACAAUAUUUAUUCGUCCAGUUCUGUAUAUAUAUAUUCUUAUAUAUUAUAUUAUAUAUGUAUGGUACGAUCCUCUUCCGAGAUAGGUUUAGUGCAAUCACCCUUGCAACAGGAAGAGAAAAAAAAAACCAUUUCGACCUUUUUUUUUUUUCGCUUUGCGCCAAUACUAACAUUUCUUUCGAAUCUAUUUGGGACAAAAGAGACGUUAUUCCGAAUGAACGAAAAUUGUUCGCGUCCGCAUAAAUAAGUCAAAAAUAGUGAAUGAAUAUUAUGACGAUGUCUGCACAGAGGAUUGCUUGGGCUCCCGACUCUUUAACAAACAAUAAUGUUUCGUCAUUAUAUUCUCGACAACAGAAUAUUAUAAGUAUGUUUUUUUUUUUUUUUUUAAGAAACGAUACGACGACAAUAUUAUUAUAACGUAUUGAAUUUCCCGGGCGAAUACAAAAUUAUCGAACAUUUUUUGAAACAUUUGGCGUAUUGAUGGAUGAUCAAAAUUUUUAAUUUUUAAAAUUGUAACGCAAUUGUUCGUUGCCUCAUAUUUUAAUCGUGUCCGAUCAAUUUUAAUAGCAUUUUCUUACGAUAUAAUUUAUCGUUUUGUGCAAUAAUUUUAAAUUUGAAAACUUAAAAUUACACCUAUCCUAUUGCAUGCAGUAAACGCGUAGAACCUUUCAACAUCUUAAAGGUGAUUCAUCAUCACAACAAAAUUAAUAAGGGUAUUGCAGUCAUAAAACACUGACUCGCGUCGAGGUGGAAAAAAAUAGAAAAGAGCGAGACACCCGGUUUUUGUUUCUUCCCCGUACUUUAUUUUAUUAAUUAUAUUUUUAUACGGCAGAUAAGAAUUUCGGUAAAAAAUAAAAAUCAUAAUUAUUCUAUUUUGUAUGUAUCAUAGUCUUUCGACAAGUAUUAAUUUAUAAAUUUCUGAUUUAGAUUUAGUGUUUUUUCGUGUACAAAAAUAUAUAGUUAAUAUUUUUUCGUGCGAACACGCAUUCAUCAUCAUCAUCGUGUAAUCGUAACGUCAAUCUUCAAGGCCAAUAUUUUUCUUCGUCGGAGUUAUUUAAGAAUAUUAUCGUACCGCUAAAAUAGUGAAAAAAAAAAAAACCGUUUAGUUAAUAAAUGUAUAUAAGUAUUAAAUACACACGCAUAACGGAAAAUAUUUUUAUUUAUUUAUUUUUUUUUUCUUUGAGGUUUUGAUUGACUACUUGCGGGGGGGGGAAACGAAAAGAAUACAUUUAAGUCGAAAAGAUAAACGGCUCAUCCGGAAAUAGGACCCCGUCGAACUCAAUAAAUUAUAACACUAUAAAUAAUAUUAUAAUGAUAAAUUCCAUAAUGUAAUUGUGCAGCGUACCCGAUCGAUGACGCGCGGCCAGGGCGAAAGUCUGACCCAAAAAAAAAAAAAAAAAUUAAAUUAAAUUUCUUCCGAUCGUCGCGCGGUCUGUAAUAAACGUUCGUCCGGCGCUCGUGUAGUGUGCGCAGAGUGCGCUGCGCGCCAAUAACAAUACUAUCAUAAUACCGGUAAUAUUGCGAUCGUAUAGACGAACGCAUCGACACUAUUCUUUCAGCAUUACGCGUUAUACACCCCCGGUAAAGUCUUUGUAUUUCAAUUUUGUUUUAUUUUUCCUUUUUUUUAUUUUUGUGAUACGGCUCUCGCAUAAUAUUUAUGUAACCUCGUGACGGCGGUCGUUUGGGUUUCGGUCACGCUACGCGUCUUAUCGAACGUGCAGCACGAAAAUGCCUCGCGCCAAACACAAUAAACGAAAAUAAUAAUAAUAAUAAUAAUAUUAUGACGGAAAAUGCGGUGCUAUAGCAAUAGCAACUAUAUAUAUAUGUAUUAUAAUACCUAUAGGUCCUUUAAUAUAAUAUUUUUUCACGAGGGUUUUUUCAUUUAUUAUUUAUUUAUAUUUAUAUAUUAUUUUUUUUUCACUCGGUUUUCUAAUUAAGUCCCGUACGGGCGUUUGAUUCGUACGGUUUUAUAUUUUCAUAUAUUUGGUCUUUUUUUUUUCUCGUAAAAAAAAAAAAAUAAUAUAUCUUUUUCUUUUUCUUUUUUUUUUUUCUGUACGGUACGUUGGAUUCAUCGGUGGACGUUUCGUAUUUUUCACUCGUGUGCACUGUGUGUAUACUUUUCUGAAAGCCUAAGCGCACUUGAAUACGUACUACGAGAGAAAAAAUAUUAUGUAAUUCACUUUUUUCUACGAGGUUUUUUUUUUUUUUUUUUUUUUCUGGAAUCAUUACUCGAAAAACUGAAAAACUGCAAAUCAUAAUAUCACGUUCGGUAAUAUCAUUGUUUUUAAACUAGGAAACCAACGACAAUAUGUUAUUUUUUUUUAUUUUCUUUUUUACAGAUUUAUAUGCACAAGCCGCGAUAUCAAUAUACAUGUAUAUUUUUAUAAGUG